UACGUAGGGUGCGGGCGUUGUCCGGAAUUAUUGGGCGUAAAGAGCUUGUAGGCGGUCUGUCGCGUCUGCUGUGAAAAUCCGGGGCUCAACCCCGGACUUGCAGUGGGUACGGGCAGACUAGAGUGUGGUAGGGGAGACUGGAAUUCCUGGUGUAGCGGUGAAAUGCGCAGAUAUCAGGAGGAACACCGGUGGCGAAGGCGGCAUCCUGGACCGAGAUUGACGCUGAGGCGCGAAAGCCAGGGGAGCGAACGGG
rnacentral:rRNA from 1 species